UUCUAACAUGCGAUGUUAGUAUGCUUAAACGAUAUCCGUUUUCUCAAAGAGGGCAAUGUUUGCUAACCUGGUAAUUCAAACCUACUGCUAAUGUAAAUAUUCACCUUGCCCAAACACCGGUCAUUCUUGUGACGGUGCGUCAGAAUAAAAUUCCCGAAUGGAAACUGGAGCUAGAGUUUAGAGUUCUGGUUGUGAAACACGGAACAAAGAAAUCUGAGACUGAAAAUCCGGAGUGGUGAGGAAUCAAGUGGUAGUAGACUUCACUGACCUCUUAAUAUAACCUCUAUGACUCAAUUCUGCUUCAUCUCCUCUCCGGCUCCAGCAGAUGUGGAUCCCCAUGGUGACAGGAGAAGAACACCAGAGACACUGCAGAUGGAUGAGUUACACAUCACAAAGAGUAGGAGACAGAAUGACAGACUGCAGGCGCCAUCUGGGAGCGAGAUGUGCAUUACAGGAGCUAUCCAUAUGGUCGGGGCAUCAUGACUUUGCUCAUCUCAUCUCCCGUCAACAUCUCUUCUGCUCAAGUCCUCUCUCAGAUGAUCCACAUACACAUUCUUAACAGAAAGACAAAGACAUGCUCGUGUUUCUGUAUUUUUGCAGAGAUUAUACAAAUUUACACAUAACAGCCGGUAUUUGAUUAAAAUGUUAAACUCAUGUCUUCAACACUCUUAAAAUGUACAUUUCCUCAUGAAUCGGGUGCUAUAGAUUAAGACUCUUCAUACAAUCUGAUUAUAGUACAUUUAUUAUAAUACAGAAUAUGAUUUGCCACCUCCAUAUCAUCCCCACCCCCAGUCGUUGUUUAGUGUCGGGAGCUGGGGGCUUUUUUAAACCCAUCUGCUGUCUCGCACCUUCUAAUAU